rnacentral:rRNA from 1 species
UACGAGGGGGGCAAGCGUUGUCCGGAUUCAUUGGGCCUAAAGCAUCCGUAGCCGACUCUGUUAGUUUUCGGUUAAAUCUAUGUGCUCAACGCAUGGGCUGCCGAAAAUACUGCAGAGCUAGGGAGUGGGAGAGGUAGACGGUACUCGGUAGGAAGGGGUAAAAUCCUUUGAUCUAUUGAUGACCACCUGUGGCGAAGGCGGUCUACCAGAACACGUUCGACGGUGAGGGAUGAAAGCUGGGGGAGCAAACCGG